rnacentral:rRNA from 1 species
GAUGAACGCUGGCGGCGUGCCUAAUACAUGCAAGUCGAGCGAACAGACGAGGAGCUUGCUCCUCUGACGUUAGCGGCGGACGGGUGAGUAACACGUGGAUAACCUACCUAUAAGACUGGGAUAACUUCGGGAAACCGGAGCUAAUACCGUAUAAUAUAUUGAACCGCAUGGUUCAAUAGUGAAAGACGGUUUUGCUGUCACUUAUAGAUGGAUCCGCGCCGCAUUAGCUAGUUGGUAAGGUAACGGCUUACCAAGGCAACGAUGCGUAGCCGACCUGAGAGGGUGAUCGGCCACACUGGAACUGAGACACGGUCAAGACUCCUACGGGAGGCAGCAGUAGGGAAUCUUCCGCAAUGGGCGAGAGCAUGACGGAGCAACGCCGCGUGAGUGAUGAAGGUCUUCGGAUCGUAAAACUCUGUUAUUAGGGAAGAACAAAUGUGUAAGUAACUAUGCACGUCUUGACGGUACCUAAUCAGAAAGCCACGGCUAACUACGUG